AUACCACAGCCCACAGCCUUUGAUAUACCAGUCGUGGUGUACUGGCUGAAACUAUUAUACUAUUAUAAAGCAAAUAUAAAGCAAAAUAUCUGAAAAGUGGGGAGGGGGCACAUGCUUGACAGCCUAGAUACUGCUGCAUAAAAUUCUGCACACAUGCCUGCAAUGUAUAGCCUAGCUUUCGAAUCGCCAUGUAAAGGAUUAUCCCGAUUUUGUAUCCAUUUUAACUUUUCAGCGAAUAAAUAGUAUUAAAGUUACAAUUUAUUUACAGUUUCCUGCUUAGAAUAUAAAUAGCUUUAUGACCAAUUCAUUUCUACAAUCAAAAUAUUUUGUAGUGUCUCAAAAUCGAUUUUUGUCAAAAAUAAUUUAUGUACAGAUUUAUUAUUUCUUUCAACGGCCAAAUGAAAUUUGAAAUAAUUCAACUGAAAGUAAUUCCAAAUGCAUUUAUCCCUAUAAUGCUUUGUAUUUAAAACAUGUUACGGUAAUUAAAGGUAGUGUUUUUUUAAAAAGAAGAAAAAGCAGGAUGUGUGUUUAUAGUGUUGGAGGGAACAGAAAUCUUUCUAUGGCUGAAAACUCAGGGUAGUCCCUCUAACAAAUUAGCUAAUUAGUAAACAGCAGAUUAUAUCUGACUGACAAGAAAUGUUUUCUAUUUUUUCGACAGUGUACAUGACGGUGUUCAAAAAUGUUAACUUGUGAGACCUCAUCAUUAGGAUUGUAGACUAGCUCCCACCCCCCACCAAAUUAGAAAAGGUGCCUAUGACCCUCAUUAUAGACUAGCUCCCACCCCCACCCACCAAAUUAGAAAAGGUGCCUAUGACCCUCAUUAUAGACUAGCUUCCACCCCCACCCACCAAAUUAGAAAAGGUACCUAUGACCCUCAUUAUAGACUAGCUCCCACCCCCCACCCACCAAAUUAAAAAAGGUACCUAUGACCCUCAUUAUAGACUAGCUCCCACCAAAUUAGAAAAGGUGCCUAUGACCCUCAUUAUAGACUAGCUUCCACCCCCCACCAAAUUAGAAAAGGUGCCUAUGACCCUCAUUAUAGACUAGCUUCCACCCCCACCCACCAAAUUAGAAAAGGUACCUAUGACCCUCAUUAUAGACUAGCUCCCACCCCCCACCCACCAAAUUAAAAAAGGUACCUAUGGCCCUCAUUAUAGACUAGCUUCCAGCAAAUUAGAAAAGGUGCCUAUGACCCUCUUUAUAGACUAGCUUCCACCCCCACCCACCAAAUUAGAAAAGGUACCUAUGACCCUCAUUAUAGACUAGCUCCCACCCCCCACCCACCAAAUUAAAAAAGGUACCUAUGACCCUCAUUAUAGACUAGCUCCCACCAAAUUAGAAAAGGUGCCUAUGACCCUCAUUAUAGACUAGCUUCCACCCCCCACCAAAUUAGAAAAGGUGCCUAUGACCCUCAUUAUAGACUAGCUUCCACCAAAUUAGAAAAGGUACCUAUGACCCUCAUUAUAGACUAGCUCCCACCCCCCACCCACCAAAUUAAAAAAGGUACCUAUGACCCUCAUUAUAGACUAGCUUCCACCAAAUUAGAAAAGGUGCCUAUGACCCUCAUUAUAGACUAGCUUCCACCCCCACCCACCAAAUUAGAAAAGGUACCUAUGACCCUCAUUAUAGACUAGCUCCCACCCCCACCCACCAAAUUAAAAAAGGUACCUAUGACCCUCAUUAUAGACUAGCUCCCACCAAAUUAGAAAAGGUGCCUAUGACCCUCAUUAUAGACUAGCUUCCACCCCCACCCACCAAAUUAGAAAAGGUACCUAUGACCCUCAUUAUAGACUAGCUCCCACCCCCCACCCACCAAAUUAGAAAAGGUACCUAUGACCCUCAUUAUAGACUAGCUCCCACCAAAUUAGAAAAGGUGCCUAUGACCCUCAUUAUAGACUAGCUCCCACCCCACCCACCAAAUUAGAAAAGGUACCUAUGACCCUCAUUAUAGACUAGCUCCCACCCCCACCCACCAAAUUAGAAAAGGUACCUAUGACCCUCAUUAUAGACUAGCUCCCACCCCCCACCCACCAAAUUAAAAAAGGUACCUAUGACCCUCAUUAUAGACUAGCUCCCACCAAAUUAGAAAAGGUGCCUAUGACCCUCAUUAUAGACUAGCUCCCACCCCCCACCCACCAAAUUAGAAAAGGUACCUAUGACCCUCAUUAUAGACUAGCUCCCACCCCCCACCCACCAAAUUAGAAAAGGUACCUAUGACCCUCAUUAUAGAUUAGUUCUCACCCAAACCCCCACCGAAUUAGAAAGUUACCCGUGACUCUCUUAAUUGUUUGUGAAUUUGUUUUAAACUAAUUUAUUAUUUGGGUUUAACUUUUUUCCUCGUUUCAUCAUUCCAAUAGAUAUAUUUUAAACUGAACAGAUUUAAUUUUCUGUGAUAUCAGUUUUCUUUCUUUCAUUAUGUAUUUAUUGUGUCAGAAUUGAUUUUUUUCUCUCUAUUUUUGGUCACAAUUUUUUGUAUCAAACUUUUUGUUGCAUUUCUGUAGUCUAUACAGGUAUGGUUUUGUUUUUUUGCCAGUAUAAAAAACAUAUCAGAUUUUGCAUAGUUACAGACAGCCGGGUGCAAUAAUUAUUCAUAAUGCAGCACCUUUUCUAUUUAUGCUUUUGUAUGCUUCAUGUAUUUUACAUGUGAAACUAUUUCACAAUAGUUCAUUUCUAAAAUAGCUUAUUAUUCAAUAAAUGGACUUAUAUUUAAUAAAAAUAAUAUUUUAAUAUUAUGUAUACAAAAAUCUUCUUUAAAAGGUACAUGUAAAUAUCUUUCCCUUCAUUUGCUACAGCUCUACAAUUUGCUUAUAAUUAUUAAUCCUUUGUAUUUGCAUAUUAAUUUUCCUUUUUGGGGUGGUUUUUUUUAAGAUUCCGGUAUACCAGUAUAUUGUAUAGACAUUUUGAAAGGAUAAUCAGAAUCAAUUAGUAAAUCAGGCCCGUAGCCAAUGGUUUGGUUGACCCCCCACUGGGUUUUUUUUCAGUAUGCCCCUAAACAACCCCCCACCCCACCCCCUCAAAAUUCUGGCUACAGGCCUGUAAAUAUAUGUGAUUGUAUUCAUGACUAAAAUGAAUUAAUAGUGUCUGAAUUAUUUGUUUGAUGAUGUUUGUUACAUGCAAGGUUUGACUUUCAGUAAAUUUAAUCUAUAAGUUAUACAUUAAUUAGAUUCUUUGUUAAAUCUAUCGUUAAAUGAAUGUUUAUAUUUUAUGAAUACAGUGGUCUUUUUUGUUGUUGUUGCAUUCGAUUUCACUGUUGCUUUACAAUUAAACAAAAAGUCAAAA